rnacentral:rRNA from 1 species
GAUCCUGGCUCAGGAUGAACGCUGGCGGCGUGCUUAACACAUGCAAGUCGAGCGAAGCACUUAAGUUUGAUUCUUCGGAUGAAGACUUUUGUGACUGAGCGGGCGGACGGGUGAGGUAACGCGUGGGUAACCUGCCUCAUACAGGGGGAUAACAGUUAGAAAUGACUGCUAAUACCGCAUAAGACCACAGUACCGCAUGGUACAGUGGUAAAAACUACCGGUGGUAUGAGAUGGACCCGCGU